rnacentral:rRNA from 1 species
UCGUCAGCUCGUGUCGUGAGAUGUUGGGUUAAGUCCCGCAACGAGCGCAACCCUUGUUAUUAGUUGCCAGCAUUAAGUUGGGCACUCUAAUGAGACUGCCGGUGACAAACCGGAGGAAGGUGGGGAUGACGUCAAGUCAUCAUGCCCCUUAUGACCUGGGCUACACACGUGCUACAAUGGGCAGUACAACGAGAAGCAAGCCUGCGAAGGCAAACGAAUCUCUGAAAGCUGUUCUCAGUUCGGACUGCAGUCUGCAACUCGACUGCACGAAGCUGGAAUCGCUAGUAAUCGCGGAUCAGCACGCCGCGGUGAAUACGUUCCCGGGCCUUGUACACACCGCCCGUCACACCAUGGGAGUCUGCAAUGCCCAAAGCCGGUGGCCUAACCUUCGGGAAGGAGCCGUCUAAGGCAGGGCAGAUGACUGGGGUGAAGUCGUAACAAGGUAGCCGUA